rnacentral:lncRNA from 1 species
CUUGGGUGUGUGUUUUCGGUGUGAGGAAGAAGAAAGAGCUGGAAGAGUGUGUUGGAGAGUAAGAAAACCGAAAUGGACAAGGAAAAGAAGAGAGAGGAGUGCAUUUAAGUUUUUACCACUUUUGGGAAAACAAAAAAAGAUGCUUCUUGUCAUCUUAGGAAUGUUUCCCUUUUAAGCUUUGCUUUUGUCUCCUGUUAGCUUGUAAUAUGCAGAGAAUCACAAGAGAAUGGAUGUGUUUUGUAGUUUGUUUUCCUUGCUUUGACUUUGCUUACAUGGCACAUUUGUUAGACCAUCAAAGUAUCUUCCAUUUACCCAUUGGUUUAAAGCACUUUUUGUAGCCAUUUCUCUCUAGCUCACGUAAGUUUGGUGCCUUGGUGUGUGGGAGUCCGAAUUUUUCUGCAUGGGAAGAGAUUAAGGCAUGGUUUUAUAGUGUUUGGAAGGCACAUGCUUAUUUCUUUGGAAAAUGGUGCACAUGGGAUAAAAAGUCAACACAUUUUGUAGCUUAUUGAAGGUGGAAUUUGGAGUUUGAUUUUGGUGCAUGGUAACUCACGGCUAAGAGGUUUCCUUAGGCCAUUUGGACUUUUAAUUUAUUUAAUAAUUGCAUAUUGGGUCACUUAAAUUACUAGAAGUAAAAUAGGCCUGUUAAUUUCUCUUGUUUUCACUUAGUUUAAUUAGUAGGUUGAGUUGUUUUUAUGUGUUUGAGUUAGUGUUACAUUUAAUUAUUUUUAACUGUGUUUGUUAAUUUGUUUGUAACAGUGUUUGAUGUUUGAAUGUUGUCUAAGGUUUUUAAUAGUGUUAGUUUAAUUACCAUCCUAGCUUAAUUUAAUUCAGUCGGCC